AAUUCUUAUUGCGGGCACUUUCUCAAAGAGAUCCUUGAACUUUUCCCAUGUCUCAAAUAGAGUCUCCAAUUCCAACUAAACAAAGGAUGAGAUCUCAUUCCUAAACUU